AUCCGGAUGACGGGUGCCAAAUAGGACGAAAUGCGUAUCCUGAAU
rnacentral:hammerhead_ribozyme from 1 species